CCUACACAUGACGUCGAAGGGUAACAGAGAGUAACUUGCUACUUAGCUGACGAGCGGCGGACGGGUGAGUAAUGCUUGGGAACAUGCCUUGAGGUGGGGGACAACAGUUGGAAACGACUGCUAAUACCGCAUAAUGUCUACGGACCAAAGGGGGCUUCGGCUCUCGCCUUUAGAUUGGCCCAAGUGGGAUUAGCUAGUUGGUGAGGUAAUGGCUCACCAAGGCGACGAUCCCUAGCUGGUUUGAGAGGAUGAUCAGCCACACUGGGACUGAGACACGGCCCAGACUCCUACGGGAGGCAGCAGUGGGGAAUAUUGCACAAUGGGCGCAAGCCUGAUGCAGCCAUGCCGCGUGUGUGAAGAAGGCCUUCGGGUUGUAAAGCACUUUCAGUCAGGAGGAAAGGUUAGUAGUUAAUACCUGCUAGCUGUUGACGUUACUGACAGAAGAAGCACCGGCUAACUCUCGUGCCAGCAGCCGCGGUAAUACGGAGGGUGCGAGCGUUAAUCGGAAUUACUGGGCGUAAAGCGUACGCAGGCGGUUUGUUAAGCGAGAUGUGAAAGCCCCGGGCUCAACCUGGGAACUGCAUUUCGAACUGGCAAACUAGAGUGUGAUAGAGGGUGGUAGAAUUUCAGGUGUAGCGGUGAAANNCNNNGAGAUCUGAAGGAAUACCGAUGGCGAAGGCAGCCACCUGGGUCAACACUGACGCU
rnacentral:rRNA from 1 species